AUUGAACGCUAGCGGGAUGCCUUACACAUGCAAGUCGAACGGAGUGGCAAACGGGUGAGUAAGGUAUCGGAACGUGCCCAGUAGCGGGGGAUAACUACGCGAAAGCGUAGCUAAAACCACAUACUAUUGGAACAGCAGAUAUCGGAUUAGCUAGUUGGUGGGGUAACGGCUCACCAAGGCGACGACCAGUAGCUGGUUUGAGUGGACGACGAGCAACACUGGGACUGAGACACGGCCCAGACUCCUACGGGAGGCAGCAGUGGGGAAUUUUGGACAAUGGGGGAAACCCUGAUCCAGCCAUCCCGCGUGUGCGAUGAAGGCCUUCGGGUUGUAAAGCACUUUUGGCAGGAAAGCGGUACCUGCAGAAUAAGCACCGGCUAACUACGUGCCAGCCGCCGCGGUAAUUC
rnacentral:rRNA from 1 species